rnacentral:rRNA from 1 species
UGGGCAACCUGCCCUCAGCUCUGGGAUAACUCCAAGAAAUUGGGGCUAAUACCGGAUAUGACCGCUGACCGCAUGGUCUGGUGGUGGAAAGAUUUAUCGGCUGGGGAUGGGCCCGCGGCCUAUCAGCUAGUUGGUGAGGUAACGGCUCACCAAGGCUUCGACGGGUAGCCGGCCUGAGAGGGCGACCGGCCACACUGGGACUGAGAUACGGCCCAGACUCCGUACGGGAG